UACUGUAUUUAUCUAAGAGGCCCAAUGCGCUGCUGAAACUGACAGACUUUGGUUUUGCCAAAGAGACCACCACACACAACUCACUGGACACCCCCUGCUACACACCAUACUACGUUGCUCCAGAGGUGUUGGGACCAGAGAAGUAUGAUAAGUCAUGUGACAUGUGGUCGCUAGGCGUCAUCAUGUACAUCUUGUUAUGUGGUUAUCCUCCGUUCUACUCUAACCAUGGUCUGGCCAUCUCUCCUGGGAUGAAGAAGAGAAUCAGGAUGGGACAAUAUGAGUUUCCUAACCCAGAGUGGUCCGACGUAUCAGAGGAGGGUAAGUGUGCCUUUUAUACUUA